rnacentral:tRNA from 1 species
GCCUGGCUGGCUCAGUGGGUAGAGCACACAGCUCUUGAUCUUGGAGUUGUGAGUUCGAGCCCCAUGUUGGGUG